UGAGUGUACACAUAGUGUCCGAGGGCUGCUGCUAUUCUGAAGAGGAGUCAACACCUCUCUAGGGACAGGAGCUCUCUCCAUCGUCUCUCACCACCAAGUGCUCGGGGCUCCUGGUGUCUGCUCUGCUGCUUUCCUGCCUGCUGCCAGGCAGCUUCCUGUUUCCUCAUAGCUUCUGCUUCCUCAUAAGCUUGGCUUGCAUAUGGUUCUGGCCUGUCAUGGCCUCCUCUCCCCUCCCCCUCCCCUCACCCCAGGCAGCUCUUGCCAUUUCUUUCCCUUUCCUAACUGGUUUAGCCCUUGGAGUUUUGUGAAUCAAAUUCCCAAGGGUUGAGAAUCAGAUUGGCGAGCUCAUGUUUCCAGUCCCACCCAGAUCAUAGGUCACUGGCCAGUCUGUAGAGUGGCUGCCCCUGGGUCAGAUUCCCACAGCUUCACCUAAGGCUGAGGGUGGAGAAGGAGGUACACAGGACAAGGCUCCGCAGCACUGAAUUUUCACCCGAAUAGCUUGCAGGCUUUCUGGUCAGUUCCUUUAGUUUCUGAUGUCUCUUUCAAAAUCGACAACAAUGAAAGUGGACUUUUCUAGACGGACCUCGCUAGACUCCAUCCCUAUAAUUGCUCAUGGAUUAUCUAGAAUUGAUUGUGUAUGUUAUAUACAGAGUUUCAUAUUCCAGCUAUUUCCCUUAAGUUUGAAUUUUUGGGUUUCUGUGAUCCUAUUUUGAGGUUGGACUAUUAAUCUUUUCUUCUUUGUAUAAUGGCUUAUAGAUCUACUUCAUAUUUGGAGCUUUUGAACUCAAGUUUCCUUUUUUUUUAAGUACUACAUGUCUAUGUUUUUUCUUUUUAAGCAGUUCAUGUGAAACUAUAAACAGCAUGCUAAUUCUUAGAUUCAUUUUAAGUCUUAAGGUCAGUUCUCUUAAUACCUCUCAGUAUUAUUUGCACAUUCUACUAGUAUCAGAUUUAUUUUGCCAUCUCUUUAAAUUUUAUCAUUUAACAUUUUCUUAUCUCUAGAGAACUAUUAGACAUCCAAUCGAGUGCUAGCAUUUUGGAAUAGCACAGUAUCCAAUGGGUCAUGACCCAGCAAGUACAUCAUGACUUGAGAGAAAAGCCAUAAAAAAAUUUAAUGCUGUUCUUCUGUGGUUUCAAUUGUGGUUUCCUAAGAGACCAGUCAGGACAACUGAGGUUGUACACUGGCUUUUUCUGUAGAUGACUGGUGGGACUUGUGGUAAUAGUGCAGAGGGUAGGAUGAAGUAGGGUGUGUCUCGAGUCCUCAGGAAAAGGCAUCUUCGACUUGAACAGUUGGAACUAAAACUGUCCACUUUGCAUUUGUGCUGGCUCAUAGUGAGGAAAGACAACAGGUCACAGC
rnacentral:lncRNA from 1 species